GCCGAAUCAGGUGACUUCAUAGCUUGUGCAGUUAAAAACACUAACAACACAACACUCAGGAAAUGGAGUUUCUGGUUAAUGGAGUUUUCUGAUUAACAGCUACUGGCACAUGGCCCAGUGAAAGCAGAAGAUUAAUAAUUUGCUCCUUAAUGGAAGGCGGGAGAGGUCCUCCGUGGUUAUAAUCCUGCAAAUGACAGGUGAACCACUACUAGAAAACCGAGUUUUCUCCUAUCAAGAGCCUGUAUCUGAAAAUCCGAGAAGCGUGGAUUCUGCCUACCUGUGCUGAGCCCUCUGAAUGGGCACAUUCCCUCCUGCACUCAAGGGGCUCAUUUACUUGUCGCUUCUGCUUUGGCUGGGCGUGCAGCCCAUGCAGCCCAGGCUUCGGAACCAGCUUGACUCCCCACCUGGGCACUUCUCCUCAUUCUGCCUCCUCUGAGGAAGAUCGGGCUACACGGGAGGAACGAGGUCACUUUGAAAAGGAAACCGGUCACCGGCAGAAGGUACAAAACAAAAACGAAAAAGCAGCUGUCUCCUGGUCAUUUGUUCUGGCCUAAGUUAGGUCAGGGGCGUUUAAAAAAUCACGUUACAUUUCAAGGUCAGAGUAGGGCGUUAUUAACAUUGAGACUGUAACCCCCUACUCACUGGGUGAUAAACGUUGUAUCAGUAUACAGCCUGCUGCCAAUGUUUUCAGGGCGAGAACAAAAUUCCUGAGGGAAAACAAAACAAACUGUGACAGCAUUUGGGGGGAACGUUUUAUGUUAAUUUUUACAACACUUUGAUAAGAUUUGAAGUGAUGUUUUAGAAUAUCACUUUGCAGUUCCUGUAUGGUGAAAGUAAUGUAUUGCCUACCUGUGGGAACAGCAGUGUGAUUUUGGAAACUAAAAGGUUAGAUUUAUAUGUAUUUUUUGACAACAAACAUUUAUUUAAUGUCCACUGUGUGGUAUACAAACAUAAAAAUCCAACUGAGCUCUCCAAACUCUUAUCUCAAUAAACGGACGUAACUUUUACUAAAUGGAUUUUCCCAUUAUGCAUGUGUUUCUGU